CUUCACAGCAUGCCCAACCACAACAACUUUAACUCCAACAACUCCUCCAGUCAUCUAUUGGUACAUGCUUUAUGUGGAGCUGAACUCCACAGAUGUUACAGCUGUAGAAGAGCUGAGGAGCAUCAACUAUCCCGUCAGCAUCAACAGGAACGUACAGAUCUCUGAUGUUAACAUUAGUACUGUCUGCUCUCCAAUCAGUGGUGAUUACCAGUGCAGAUGUGAGGAUCAGUAUCGUUGGCCAUGUGACCAGUGUGUAACAUAUGGAUCAUGUGACAACAUCACUGGUGACACAUGUGGAUGCAUCAGUGGCAUUCCUGCUGGUGGACAGUACUGCCAGGCUGAGGAUCAAUACAGUGAGUUUAUCUGGAGAGUUUGUUGGGUUGACAU